AAUAUAUUUAGGUAUAGCCUCACAAAUUAAGUAACGGGGGUAGAGCUCUGGAUGGGCUAGGGGUCCUACCAGAUUACCAAACCUAACCAAACUCCGAAUACCGCCAACUACUAUUGCAGGAGUCAGACUACGGGAGCUAAGUUCCGUGGUCGCGAGGGAAACAGCCCAGAUCGCCAGCUAAGGUCCCUAAAUGUGCGCUAAGUGGGAAAGGAUGUGGAAAUGCACAGACAACCAGGAGGUUGGCUUAGAAGCAGCCACCCUUUAAAGAAAGCGUAAUAGCUCACUGGUCGAGUGAGUCUGCGCCGAAAAUGUAACGGGGCUUAAGCGCAUUACCGAAGCUGCGGGAGUCCCGCUUUCGGGCGGGGUUCGGUAGGGGAGCAUUCUGUUAGGGCUGAAGGUUGACCGUAAGGACGGCUGAACUUAACAGAAGAGACUAUGCUGACAUGAGUAACGAUAAAGCAGGUGAAAAACCUGCUCGCCGAAAGCCUAAGGUUUCCUGAGUAAAGCUAAUCUGCUCAGGGUUAGUCGAUCCCUAAGCCGAGGCCGAAAGGCGUAGGUAAUGGAAAACAGGUUAAUAUUCCUGUACCACCGGGUUGUCAAUAUCCCUUCGGGGAUGAGAGUGAUUGGGGGGACGCAAAAGGGUAGAUCAGCCAUCUGUUGGAUUAGGUGGUUCAAGCUCGUAGGCUGAAAGAACAGGAAAAUCCAUUCUUUCAUAAAAGCUGAGAAGUGAUGAGGAUCCCGUUUUCGGGAACAAACUGAUCGAUCCCAUGUUGCCAAGAAAAGCCUCUAGCGAGAUAACCAGGUGAUCGUACCACAAACCGACACAGGUAGGCAGGGAGAGAAUCCCAAGGCGCUUGAGAGAACCCUGGUUAAGGAACUCGGCAAAAUAACACCGUAACUUAGGGAGAAGGUGUGCCCUCAUUAGGUGAAGCAACUUGCUUGUGAAGCUGAGGAGGGUCGCAGAGAAAUGGCGGUAGCGACUGUUUACUAAAAACAUAGGACUCUGCUAAGUCGUAAGACGAUGUAUAGGGUCUGACGCCUGCCCGGUGCCGGAAGGUUAAGGGGAUUUGUUAGCCCGCUUUGGCGGGCGAAGCUUUGAACUGAAGCCCCGGUAAACGGCGGCCGUAACUAUAACGGUCCUAAGGUAGCGAAAUUCCUUGUCGGGUAAGUUCCGACCUGCACGAAUGGCGUAACGACUUCCGCACUGUCUCAACCAGGGACUCAGUGAAAUUGAAAUGGCGGUGAAGAUACCGUCUACCCGCGAAAAGACGGAAAGACCCCGGCACCUUUACUACAGCUUGACAUUGGAUUUUGAAAUAGUAUGUGUAGGAUAGGUGGGUGGCAGUGAUCCCGGAUCGCUAGCUCCUGAG
rnacentral:rRNA from 1 species